rnacentral:rRNA from 1 species
CCUACGGGGGGCUGCAGUGGGGAAUAUUGGACAAUGGGGGGAACCCUGAUCCAGCCAUGCCGCGUGUGUGAAGAAGGCCCUCGGGUUGUAAAGCACUUUCAGUGAGGAAGAACGCCUGGUGGUUAAUACCCAUCAGGAAAGACAUCACUCACAGAAGAAGCACCGGCUAACUCCGUGCCAGCAGCCGCGGUAAUACGGAGGGUGCGAGCGUUAAUCGGAAUUACUGGGCGUAAAGCGCGCGUAGGUGGCUUGAUAAGCCGGUUGUGAAAGCCCCGGGCUCAACCUGGGAACGGCAUCCGGAACUGUCAAGCUAGAGUGCAGGAGAGGAAGGUAGAAUUCCCGGGGUAGCGGUGAAAUGCGUAGAGAUCGGGAGGAAUACCAGUGGCGAAGGCGGCCUUCUGGACUAACACUGGCACUGAGGUGCGAAAGCGUGGGUAGCAAACAGGAUUAGAUACCCCUGUAGUC